rnacentral:rRNA from 1 species
GAUGAACGCUAGCUACAGGCUUAACACAUGCAAGUCGAGGGGAAACGAUAGAGAAAGCUUGCUUUUUCUAGGCGUCGACCGGCGCACGGGUGAGUAACGCGUAUCCAACCUGCCCAUCACUUGGGGAUAACCUUGCGAAAGUAAGACUAAUACCCAAUGACGUCUCUAGAAGACAUCUGAAAGAGAUUAAAGAUUUAUCGGUGAUGGAUGGGGAUGCGUCUGAUUAGCUUGUUGGCGGGGUAACGGCCCACCAAGGCGACGAUCAGUAGGGGGUCUGAGAGGAAGGCCCCCCACGUUGGAACUGCGACACGGUCCAAACUCCUACGGGAAGCAGCAGUGAAGAAUAUUGGUCAAUGGGCGAUAGCCUGAACCAGCCAAGUAGCGUGCAGGAUGACGGCCCUAUGGGUUGUAAACUGCUUUUAUAAGGGAAUAAAGUGAGUCUCGUGAGACUUUUUGCAUGUACCUUAUGAAUAAGGACCGGCUAAUUCCGUGCCAGCCGCCGCGGUAA